CCUACGGGUGGCAGCAGUGAGGAAUAUUGGUCAAUGGACGGAAGUCUGAACCAGCCAUGCCGCGUGCAGGAAGACGGCUCUAUGAGUUUUAAACUGCUUUUGUACAAGGGUAAACCUGAAUACGUGUAUUCAGCUGAAAGUACUGUACGAAUAAGGAUCGGCUAACUCCGUGCCAGCAGCCGCGGUAAUACGGAGGAUCCAAGCGUUAUCCGGAUUUAUUGGGUUUAAGGGGUGCGUAGGCGGAUUGAUAAGUUAGAGGUGAAAUGUCCGAGCUUAACUCGGGAACUGCCGCUAAUACUGUUGAUCGAGAGAGUAGAUGCGGUAGGCGGAAUGUAUGGUGUAGCGGUGAAAUGCUUAGAGAUCAUACAGAACACCGAUGGCGAAGGCAGCUUACCAAUCUAUAUCUGACGUUGAGGCACGAAAGCGUGGGGAGCAAACAGGAUUAGAUACCCGAGUAGUC
rnacentral:rRNA from 1 species